UGCAAGUCGAGCGGACAGAUGGGAGCUUGCUCCCUGAUGUUAGCGGCGGACGGGUGAGUAACACGUGGGUAACCUGCCUGUAAGACUGGGAUAACUCCGGGAAACCGGGGCUAAUACCGGAUGGUUGUUUGAACCGCAUGGUUCAAACAUAAAAGGUGGCUUCGGCUACCACUUACAGAUGGACCCGCGGCGCAUUAGCUAGUUGGUGAGGUAACGGCUCACCAAGGCGACGAUGCGUAGCCGACCUGAGAGGGUGAUCGGCCACACUGGGACUGAGACACGGCCCAGACUCCUACGGGAGGCAGCAGUAGGGAAUCUUCCGCAAUGGACGAAAGUCUGACGGAGCAACGCCGCGUGAGUGAUGAAGGUUUUCGGAUCGUAAAGCUCUGUUGUUAGGGAAGAACAAGUACCGUUCGAAUAGGGCGGUACCUUGACGGUACCUAACCAGAAAGCCACGGCUAACUACGUGCCAGCACCCCCCGGUAAA
rnacentral:rRNA from 1 species